GGCGAGUGAAGCGGCAACAGCUCAAAUUUGAAAUCUGGCUACCUUUCGUAGUCCGAGUUGUAAUUUGUAGAGGAUGCUUUUGGUGAGGUGCCUUCCGAGUUCCCUGGAACGGGACGCCAUAGAGGGUGAGAGCCCCGUACGGUUGGAUACCAAACCUCUGUAUAGCUCCUUCAACGAGUCGAGUAGUUUGGGAAUGCUGCUCUAAAUGGGAGGUAUAUCUCUUCUAAAGCUAAAUAUAGGCUAGAGACCGAUAGCGCACAAGUAGAGUGAUCGAAAGAUGAAAAGCACUUUGAAAAGAGAGUUAAACAGCACGUGAAAUUGUUGAAAGGGAAGCGCCUAUGACCAGACUUGUUUCUGGCAGUUUCGUUAGCCCUCGGGCUGAUUUACUCUGUCCAGUACAGGCCAGCAUCAGUUUGCUGUCGGGGAGAAAGGCUCUGGGAACGUAGCUCCCCCCUUCUGGGGGGAGUGUUAUAGCCCUCUGCAUAAUACCCUUCGGCAGACUGAGGACCGCGCUUCGGCAAGGAUGCUGGCGUAAUGGUCAUCAGCGACCCGUCUUGAAACACGGACCAAGGAGUCAACCUUAUGUGCGAGUGUUUGGGUGUAAAACCCCAGCGCGUAAUGAAAGUGAACGUAGGUGAGAGCUUCGGCGCAUCAUCGACCGAUUCUGAUGUUUUCGGAUGGAUUUGAGUAAGAGCACACAGGGUUGGACCCGAAAGAAGGUGAACUAUGCUUGUAUAGGGUGAAGCCAGAGGAAACUCUGGUGGAGGCUCGCAGCGGUUCUGACGUGCAAAUCGAUCGUCAAAUAUGAUCAUGGGGGCGAAAGACUAAUCGAACCUUCUAGUAGCUGGUUCCAGCCGAAGUUUCCCUCAGGAUAGCAGUGUUGAAUUUUCUUCAGUUUUAUGAGGUAAAGCGAAUGAUUAGGGACUCGGGGGCGCUAUAUUGCCUUCAUCCAUUCUCAAACUUUAAAUAUGUAAGAAGC
rnacentral:rRNA from 1 species